AUGUAUAAAUAAGUUUUAAAACUCAAAAAUGUUCAAGAGAAAAGAUAUUUCUGAUGUGCUAAACAAACUUUUGGAGGUAAAUUAGCAGCACGACUACUUCUGCCACUGCUGUCAGUCACCUUCAGACAAGU
rnacentral:snoRNA from 1 species